GAUGAACGCUGGCGGCGUGCCUAAUACAUGCAAGUCGAGCGAACGGACGAGAAGCUUGCUUCUCUGAUGUUAGCGGCGGACGGGUGAGUAACACGUGGAUAACCUACCUAUAAGACUGGGAUAACUUCGGGAAACCGGAGCUAAUACCGGAUAAUAUUUUGAACCGCAUGGCUCAAAAGUGAAAGACGGUCUUGCUGUCACUUAUAGAUGGAUCCGCGCUGCAUUAGCUAGUUGGUAAGGUAACGGCUUACCAAGGCAACGAUGCAUAGCCGACCUGAGAGGGUGAUCGGCCACACUGGAACUGAGACACGGUCCAGACUCCUACGGGAGGCAGCAGUAGGGAAUCUUCCGCAAUGGGCGAAAGCCUGACGGAGCAACGCCGCGUGAGUGAUGAAGGUCUUCGGAUCGUAAAACUCUGUUAUUAGGGAAGAACAAAUGUGUAAGUAACUAUGCACAUCUUGACGGUACCUAAUCAGAAAGCCACGGCUAACUACGUG
rnacentral:rRNA from 1 species